GGCGGGACAGAGCAGGGAGGCCCGCCGGAGCUGGGCCGUACCUGCUGCCGUGCCGCCAGCACGUCCUCGGCCAGCUCCUCCACCUCGGCCAGCAUCGAAUGAAGUACGGCAGCUUCAGGGGAGCAGUGGGAGCCAGUGCUGGGGCACACACAGGCACUCCAGGCUGGGAAUAAUCCACACUCAGCCCUUUUCUGUAUGCAGCCAGAAACCCUCCCUGCCUGCUGGCAGCUGCACAGGAAGCUUCAGGGAUGUUUAUAAGGUUUUUUUUCUCUCUUCUCUUUUCAUGUGGCUGCUGGGGCCUGUUGUUAAGAUAAAUCAGACUUCAAACCACGGUC